rnacentral:rRNA from 1 species
AUGGGUACGUGCAGUAGAGCAAGGAGUAGAUGCUGCAGCAGAUGGCCAUGGGCACGGCGAUCUCCGCGAAAACAGCCUUCGCCAGCGCGGCGGCGUUCUCCCGUUCAGCCUUCCCGGUGCCGCCGGACGCCGGCUGGUACCCGAAGACCCGCUCCGCCAGGAUGCCCACGACGGCCGGCGCGAACGACGAGAAGAUCGUCUCGAAGAACCUGUCCAGCGCGUACACCGUCGUCCUCGCCUUCUCCGGCACGAUCUCCGCGAGUAUCGGGCUGCAAAGGGACCCCAGUUAGCAAGCAGCGCAUGCAAAGAAUGGAAAGUUUUGCCACCAGCAUUGCUCACUUGUUGGUGGCCGGGGGGCACCAGGGCAUGACGAAGCCGAGGACGGCGAAGGCGGCGGCGUACGCGGCCCCGGCCGAGGGGUCGAUGGGCAGCGCGAGCAGCAGGACGGCGGCGACCGGGACGGUCGACGCCGUGCUCACCUGCGCCAGCGCGACCCUGCCGGCGUUCGGGAACCGCCGGGCCAUGGUGUCCCCGAUGAGCCCGGCGAACAGCGAGCCGAGCGCCCCGGUCAGCUGGUUGAGGUUGGUGAUGACGCUGGUCUCCCAGUGCGUGAACCCCACGAGCUCCAGCCACAUGGCGGCGAAGGUGAGCGCCGUCCACGGCACCGACCCGGCCACCCCCUGCGCCACCAGGAUCUGGAACGUCGGCAAGCGCACCACGUCCCUGGCCUCCAUGGCGAGCUCUCUGGCCACCGUUGCCGUGCUCUUCUCGGACGUGCUGGGCGGACGGGGGUCCGAGGCGAGGAACCACGUCGAGACGGCGAGCGCGACGCUGAGGAGCGCGAGUAUGUGGAAUGCCAGGCGCCAGCCGGGGACGCCGAGGAAGGUCGUGGGCGCGAGCAGCACGCCGAGUGUGCCCCCCGUCAUGGCGCCCAGGCGGCUCGCCAUCCCCAGCCACCCGAACGCGAGCCGCGCGUCGUGUCGUCGCUGUAGUCGGCCGCCAGGGAGUUCAUCGCCGGCACCACCAGCGCCAGGCCGACGCCGUUAA